rnacentral:rRNA from 1 species
AGAGUUUGAUCCUGGCUCAGGAUGAACGCUGGCGGCGUGCCUAAUACAUGCAAGUCGAGCGAACAGAUAAGGAGCUUGCUCCUUUGACGUUAGCGGCGGACGGGUGAGUAACACGUGGGUAACCUACCUAUAAGACUGGGAUAACUUCGGGAAACCGGAGCUAAUACCGGAUAACAUUUGGAACCGCAUGGUUCUAAAGUGAAAGAUGGUUUUGCUAUCACUUAUAGAUGGACCCGCGCCGUAUUAGCUAGUUGGUAAGGUAACGGCUUACCAAGGCGACGAUACGUAGCCGACCUGAGAGGGUGAUCGGCCACACUGGAACUGAGACACGGUCCAGACUCCUACGGGAGGCAGCAGUAGGGAAUCUUCCGCAAUGGGCGAAAGCCUGACGGAGCAACGCCGCGUGAGUGAUGAAGGGUUUCGGCUCGUAAAACUCUGUUAU